rnacentral:rRNA from 1 species
UACCUAUCGUUGCCUCGGCGGGAUCGCCCCGGCGCCUCUGCUGCCCGGAACCAGGCGCCCGCCGGAGGACCCUAAACUCUGUAUUCUGUGUGAUACUCUGAGUGGCACAAGCAAAAAUGAAUCAAAACUUUCAACAACGGAUCUCUUGGUUCUGGCAUCGAUGAAGAACGCAGCGAAAUGCGAUAAGUAAUGUGAAUUGCAGAAUUCAGUGAAUCAUCGAAUCUUUGAACGCACAUUGCGCCCGCCAGUAUUCUGGCGGGCAUGCCUGUCCGAGCGUCAUUUCAACCCUCGAGCCCCCGGGCUUGGUGUUGGGGAUCGGCCGCACGCCGCUGCGGCCGGCCCCUAAAUGCAGUGGCGGCCCCGCCUCGCCUCCCUUGCGCAGUAGCAAACCUCGCACUGGAGCGCGGCGCGGCCACGCCGUGAAACCCCAUCUCAUCAAGGUUGACCUCGGAUCAGGUAGGAAUACCCGCUGAACUUAAGCAUAUCAAU